rnacentral:rRNA from 1 species
UGGGGAAUAUUGCGCAAUGGGCGAAAGCCUGACGCAGCGACGCCGCGUGAGGGAUGACGGGCCUUCGGGUUGUGAAAUCCUCGUUUUCAAGCAGGGACGUAAGCGGAAAGUGACGGAUACCUGCAGAAGAAGCACCGGCCAACUACGUGCCAGCAGCCGCGGUAAUACGUAGGGUGCAAGCGUUGUCCGGAAUUAUUGGGCGUAAAGAGCUCGUAGGCGGUCUGUCGCGUCGGCUGUGAAAAACCCGGGGCUCAACCCCGGGCCUGCAGUCGAUACGGGCAGACUAGAGUGCGGUAGGGGAGACUGGAAUUCCUGGUGUAGCGGUGAAAUGCGCAGAUAUCAGGAGGAACACCGGUGGCGAAGGCGGGUCUUC